rnacentral:rRNA from 1 species
GAUGAACGCUGGCGGCGUGCCUAAUACAUGCAAGUCGAGCGAACGGACGAGAAGCUUGCUUCUCUGAUGUUAGCGGCGGACGGGUGAGUAACACGUGGAUAACCUACCUAUAAGACUGGGAUAACUUCGGGAAACCGGAGCUAAUACCGGAUAAUAUUUUGAACCGCAUGGUUCAAAAGUGAAAGACGGUCUUGCUGUCACUACUAGAUGGAUCCGCGCUGCUUUAGCUAGUUGGUAAGGUAACGGCUUACCAAGGCAACGAUGCGUAGCCGACCUGAGAGGGUGAUCGGCCACACUGGAACUGAGACACGGUCCAGACUCCUACGGGAGGCAGCAGUAGGGAAUCGUCCGCAGUGGGCGAAAGCCUGACGGAGCAACGCCGCGUGAGUGAUGAAGGUCUUCGGAUCGUAAAACUCUGUUAUUAGGGAAGAACAUAUGUGUAAGUAACUGUGCACAUCUUGACGGUACCUAGUCAGAAAGCAACGGCUAACUACGUG